rnacentral:rRNA from 1 species
CCCGCUGAACUUAAGCAUAUCAAUAAGCGGAGGAAAAGAAACCAACAGGGAUUGCCUCAGUAGCGGCGAGUGAAGCGGCAAGAGCUCAGAUUUGAAAUCCGGUGCGGUUCCCGUGCCCGAGUUGUAAUCUGGAGAGGAUGUUCCGGCGAGGUCGGCCGCCCAAGUUCCUUGGAACAGGACGUCUCAGAGGGUGAGAACCCCGUACCCGGCGGUUCGGCCAAGCCAUGUGGAACUCCUUCGACGAGUCGAGUUGUUUGGGAAUGCAGCUCANNACUGGGUGUAAAUUCCAUCUAAAGCUAAUACCCGGCGGGAGACCGAUAGCGCACAAGUAGAGUGAUCGAAAGAUGAAAAGCACUUUGAAAAGAGAGUUAAAAAGUACGUGAAAUUGUUGAAAGGGAAGCGCUUGCCAUCAGAACAGGCGCCGGUCGAUCAGCGUUCCUUCUGGUUCGUGCACUCGGCCGGCUGCCUUGCCAGCAUCGGUUGCCGCGGCGGGACAAAGACGGCGGGAAAGUGUCUCCCCUCGGGGAGUGUUACAGCCCGUCGUGCAAUGCCGCCGGUGGCGACCGAGGACCGCGCUUCGUGCAAGGAUGCUGGCCUAAUGGUUGUAAGCGACCCGUCUUGAAACACGG